rnacentral:rRNA from 1 species
UACGUAGGGGGGCGAGCGUUGUCCGGAUUUAUUGGGCGUAAAACGCUUGUAGGUGGCUACGUCAAGUCGGACGUGAAAUCUCCCCGGCUUAACUGGGAGGGGUCGCUCGAUACUGGCGAGCUCGAGGCAGGUAGGGGGAAGCGGAAUUCCCGGUGUAGUGGUGGAAUGCGUAGAUAUCGGGAGGAACACCAGUGGCGAAGGCGGCUUCCUGGACCUGUUCUGACACUGAGGAGCGAAAGCGUGGGGAGCGGAUCCGG